AUAUCUUUCUCGGUCUUUUGGCUAAGAUCAAUUGUAGUAUUUGUUCUUAUCAGUAUCUGAUGUGGGUUACACACCCACAAUGAUAUUAAAUUUAUCUUUUAUGGGGGAGAGUUCACCAUACUAGCUUGCUAGUGGGGCUCUCAAGUGUCACCUAUGCGUUGUAUAAUUGCCUAGGCCUGGCUCACCCCAA
rfam:Triticum aestivum genome assembly, contig: Triticum_aestivum_CS42_TGACv1_scaffold_513126_6BS